rnacentral:tRNA from 1 species
AAAGAAUUAGUUAAAUUAUAAUUUAAGAUUGUCAGUCUUACGUUGCUAACUUACCUUAGCAUUCUUUA